rnacentral:misc_RNA from 1 species
GCCCUUCUCUUUUGCAAAUUUCCAUGCAGAAUUCUCAGCCAAGGUCUUUGAGACCACAUACCAAAGCUUAGAUUCCUUGCAAAAAUCUGGAUCAGAAACCCAAGUUUCAUCAACUACUACCUCUGGAGCCCGAGGCUUUCCAUUGAAAGCAACUGCAGCCAUAGAUGACGUCAAGACAACUCGUUUGACUGAUGGGACUUUUGCACAUGAGUUAAGAACAUUAAGUGU